rnacentral:piRNA from 1 species
UACAGAUAUGGCAAGAUGAAUUUGAUG